CGAGGCAAUGGAUGCAGCAAACCACCACCAUUUGUAUACCUAUGUAACAAACUGCACAAUCUACACAUAUACCCCAGAACUUUAAGUAUAAUUUAAAAAAAGAAGUUUCCCACUAUUGUGCUGCUGUCUAUCUUAUUUCUUAGGUCUAUUAGUAAUUGUUUUGUAAAUUUGGGAGCUCAGGUGUUAGGUGCAUAUAUGUUUAGGACUGUGAUAUUUUCCUGUUGGACAAGGACUUUUACCAUUAUAUAAUGUCCCUCUUUGUCUCUUUUAACUUCCGUUGCUUUAAAGUUUGUUUAAGCUACAACAUAAUUCAUCUCCCUUUGAGAUAGAGGAGAAACGCAGAAACAUUUGACCCAUGUCUCACACCUGACCCCUGCCUUUCCCUUGUGGGAGAAAGGAAUGAGGCUACAGAUGGAAUUCUUUAACUCUAAUUGACUCCCUUGGCUUUUACAGCAAGGGGUGCCAUGAUUUUGAAGCAAGAGAAGAAGAAGAAGAAGAAGAUGAAGAUGAAGACGAAGAAGAAGGAUGAGUAGGAAGAGGGGAGGAAGUAAAUCCAGCUGCCAUCAGUUGGAGUAGCUCUCAGUACAAAGUAACACUGGUGGUAUCAUGAAACUUCUCAAAUAGGUCAACACAGUCACUCACUGGAGUUUUCUUACUAGGAUCAGAUAGGCAUUUGACAAAGUGCUAACCCCACAGAGCAGGGGAAGAGGCAGGGAGGAGACAAGGCCAAAUGUUGCCCCCUUCUUUCUCUUGUUCAUAGGAGCUCUGCUGCCCUGUUUCCUGUUGACUGGCAAUUUCAUCAUGCUACAUUUGAUCAUUACAUAAGGAUAAGAAAUGUGAAUUUAAAAGUCAAGCACCCAAGAACCCCAGCUAUCUCAUCAACACAUCAGAUGCCUCAGAAACACAUUGGAAUUUUUAAAAAUUGAUUCUACAAAUCUUCCCCCCUCCAGUUCUCUUCUGACCACGUGGGGUUCGCAGCAGAAUACACACGAUAUAGACACAUUCCCUGAAGUGUAAUAGAUUUGAAUUGCACACAAGUUGGAGAAUGAAUGUCUAAAUAAUUAGGAGGUUAAUUAAUCUAAAAUAUUGGAGGAUGAAAGAAAUUUGAAGCUACAGAUUCAGUAGAAGAGGUCUUCACAACUGUCUUGCUAAUGAAAAUAGAGGGAGGUGGGAGACUGAGGCAACUGAGAAUGGUUCAGGGCCAGCUAACCACAGUUGGCCACGCCCAAUAUGCUCCUGGCUCUUUACAACCGAUUGAUUUGACUAUCUGAUUCUUGUGGUCAAGAAGCCUCCUGGUGGCCAGGCACGGUGGCUCAUGUCUAUAAUCCCAACACUUUGGGAGGCCGAGAUGGGCAGAUCACCUAAGGUCAGGAGUUCGAGACCAGCCUGGCCAACAUGGUGAAACCCCAUCUCUACCAAAAAUACAAAACAACAAACAAAAAAAUUAGCUGGGCAUGGUAGCAUGUGCCUGCAAUCCCAUCUACUCAGGAGGCUGAGGCAUUAGAAUUGCUGGAACCCAGGAGGCGGAGGUUGCAGUGAGCUGAGAUCAUGCCACUGCACUCCAGCCUGGGUGACAGAGCGAAACUCUAGCUCAAAAAUAAAAUUAUAUUAAAAAAUAGAAGCCUCCCUCA
rnacentral:lncRNA from 13 species